rnacentral:rRNA from 1 species
CCUACGGGAGGCAGCAGUGGGGAAUAUUGCACAAUGGGGGAAACCCUGAAGCAGCGACGCCGCGUGAGUGAAGAAGUAAUUCGUUAUGUAAAGCUCUAUCAGCAGGGAAGAAAAUGACGGUACCUGAGUAAGAAGCCCCGGCUAACUACGUGCCAGCAGCCGCGGUAAUACGUAGGGGGCAAGCGUUAUCCGGAUUUACUGGGUGUAAAGUGAGCGUAGACGGCAGUGCAAGUCUGGAGGGAAAGGCGGGGGCUCAACCCCCGGACUGCUCUGGAAACUGUACGGCUGGAGUGCAGGAGAGGUAAGUGGAAUUCCUAGUGUAGCGGUGAAAUGCGUAGAUAUUAGGAGGAACACCAGUGGCGAAGGCGGCUUACUGGACUGUAACUGACGUUGAGGCUCGAAAGCGUGGGGAGCAAACAGGAUUAGAUACCCUUGUAGUC